rfam:Vitis vinifera, whole genome shotgun sequence of line PN40024, unoriented chromosome 18, chr18
CCUUUUGAUGAUGAUGAUCUUAUUGAUCAGGUUCUUGAAGGACUUAGUGAUGAGUACAAAUUCGUCAUUGAUGCAAUUAAUGCCCGUGACACGUCAAUUUCUUUUGUUGAGCUCCAUGAGAAACUUCUCAACAAAG